UUACAUACUUCUAGUUACUAUUAUUGCAAAGUAAUUCUGAUCUUUGUGAGUCAAGAAUAGAAUCACAGAAUGGUAGAAUUUGGAAGGGGCCUCUGGAUCUCAUCUGGUCCAAACAUCAUUGCUAGCAGAAGAACAUAGUGGUUCUAAGGAUUCUGGAAUUUAAUUGGAUUUAAGAAUAUACACUGUAACACGUACCUUCAUUUUUAAAUGAAUUUGUGCAGCCACUGAAAGCAGCCAAGACCCAUUUCAACCUGAGAAGUGCAAAGCCCAGAAAGCAACACACGCUGCAGCAGUUUAUCCAUACUGAAAGAUGCCAAGCACGUCAGUAACAGACACCACAGCAAAGGCCCUGUACACCAGAUGACCCAAACCAGGAGCAGGCUUCCACCCAGGCAACAUAUCCUGAUCUUGUUAAAUAAGGUUAUGAGGUUCUCAAAGUGACCCAGCUUCUCCUCUGCCUGGUCAGAUGCCUCCCAGUCAGAUCAGAGGCAGGAGAGUGUAACAGCAGGGAAAUGAAGAAGUGUGUGCUUCCCUUGCUCAAAUAAGUGUCAGCAUCCCCACUCUUUGAGGCACAGUUCUGUUGUUAAGACAGAAAUACACAAACAAACAGCCAAAUAAAUAAAUAAAUAAAAAGCACUAUUUACUGAAUCAAAGUGAUCUAGUGAUAUUGCCUACAACCUCAAGCCGGUGUAAUCUCCAAACCAAGCAUGAAGCUGCCUC